UACGGGGGGGCAAGCGUUGUUCGGAAUUUCUGGGCGUAAAGGGCGCGUAGGCGGCCUUCUAAGUCAGACGUGAAAUCCCUCGGCUCAACCGAGGAACUGCGUCUGAUACUGGAAGGCUUGAAUCCGGGAGAGGGAUGUGGAAUUCCAGGUGUAGCGGUGAAAUGCGUAGAUAUCUGGAGGAACACCGGUGGCGAAGGCGGCAUCCUGGACCGGUAUUGACGCUGAGGCGCGAAAGCUAGGGGAGCAAGCGGG
rnacentral:rRNA from 1 species